rnacentral:rRNA from 1 species
CACGUAGGCACCAAGCGUUGUCCGGAUUUAUUGGGCGUAAAGAGCUCGUAGGCGGUUCGGUAAGUCGGGUGUGAAAACUCUGGGCUCAACCCAGAGCCGCCACCCGAUACUGCUGUGACUUGAGUUCGGUAGGGGAGCGGGGAAUUCCUGGUGUAGCGGUGAAAUGCGCAGAUAUCAGGAGGAACACCAGUGGCGAAGGCGCCGCUCUGGGCCGAGACUGACGCUGAGGAGCGAAAGCCAGGGG